CUGCAGCCAAUUAAGCCGACUGUGCUCUUUUCCCAUGGGGCCCAGUGUGCAAUGGCUGCGAACAGCAGCCUCCUUGGUAGUGUAUGCAGCCUGUUGGUUGUACGGGUUGCCCUAAGGGACCUUGGAGACAGUU
ensembl:snoRNA SNORA70 Small nucleolar RNA SNORA70